rnacentral:rRNA from 1 species
UGGCUGUUCAAAGAUUAAGCCAUGCAUGUCUAAGUAUAAGCAAUUAUACCGUGAAACUGCGAAUGGCUCAUUAAAUCAGUUAUCGUUUAUUUGAUAAUACCUUACUACUUGGAUAACCGUGGUAAUUCUAGAGCUAAUACAUGCUGAAAAUCCCGACUUCGGAAGGGAUGUGUUUAUUAGAUAAAAAACCAAUGCCCUUCGGGGCUUUUUGGUGAUUCAUGAUAACUUUACGGAUCGCAUAGCCUUGCGCUGGCGACGGUUCAUUCAAAUUUCUGCCCUAUCAACUUUCGAUGGUAAGGUAUUGGCUUACCAUGGUUUCAACGGGUAACGGGGAAUUAGGGUUCGAUUCCGGAGAGGGAGCCUGAGAAACGGCUACCACAUCCAAGGAAGGCAGCAGGCGCGCAAAUUACCCAAUCCCGACACGGGGAGGUAGUGACAAUAAAUACUGAUACAGGGCUCUUUUGGGUCUUGUAAUUGGAAUGAGUACAAUUUAAACCUCUUAACGAGGAACAAUUGGAGGGCAAGUCUGGUGCCAGCAGCCGCGGUAAUUCCAGCUCCAAUAGCGUAUAUUAAAGUUGUUGCAGUUAAAAAGCUCGUAGUUGAAACUUGGGCCUGGCUGGCGGGUCCGCCUCACCGCGUGCACUCGUCCGGCCGGGCCUUCCUUCUGAAGAACCUCAUGCCCUUCACUGGGCGUGCUGGGGAAUCAGGACUUUUACUUUGAAAAAAUUAGAGUGUUCAAAGCAGGCCUUUGCUCGAAUACGUUAGCAUGGAAUAAUAAAAUAGGGCGUGCGUUUCUAUUUUGUUGGUUUCUAGAGACGCCGCAAUGAUUAACAGGAACAGUCGGGGGCAUCAGUAUUCAGUUGUCAGAGGUGAAAUUCUUGGAUUUACUGAAGACUAACUACUGCGAAAGCAUUUGCCAAGGAUGUUUUCAUUAAUCAGUGAACGAAAGUUAGGGGAUCGAAGACGAUCAGAUACCGUCGUAGUCUUAACCGUAAACUAUGCCGACUAGGGAUCGGGCGAUGUUCUUUUUCUGACUCGCUCGGCACCUUACGAGAAAUCAAAGUUUUUGGGUUCUGGGGGGAUUAUGGUCGCAGGGCUGAAACCUAAAGGAAUUGACGGAAGACC